ACCUUGAUCUCUUUAGUUCUUACAUUAGUAAUUAGGACCAUAAAUAAGUGGGAAGUUGUCUUAAACCCAUAUUAUUUUAGGACUUUUAUUUAUCAUGUCUUUAAAUUGAUGUCAUUUUAUUACAUUUGUUUUUAAUUAAGGUUCAUGUCUUGUAGGAAGGGAGAAACGACCACACUUGGAGAUAGAAUAAGGAGAUAGAGUAUAUUGAUGAAAGCUUGGAGGGAAAAGAUAGAGCCAAAAGAGCACACGGCUAGAAACAAGGAAGACCAUCCCCCACAUGGCUACAAUUAAGGAAGAUCUAAUCUUCAUAAGAUAAGAAUCUCCUAAUCUAAUUUUCAACCAAGUAAUCAAAAGGAGGAUAAAAUUAUAGCAUCAACAUGAAGAUAAAGGAAGAGAUUAUUUCAACCACUCAUCAAGACAAUCUCAAAUCAAAUCCACCAUCACCAUUCGUCCAACACAUGAAGAUUAGAUUUGAGAUUAGAUAGGAUUAGUUUAUCUUUUCAUUCCUUUUGAUUAUGGCAAUUUAAGCCUAAUUUCUUUUUCUCUAUAUAUGAACCGAAUGCAC
rnacentral:lncRNA from 1 species